GCUGUGGUAGUAAAGUGGUUAAUACAUUGCAUUGUGGCUGCAAAAAGCCCAGGUUCAAAUCCUGGCCAUAGCA